GCCUCCUCGAUCCCAUCUCCACCUCCAGCCCACCGCCACCUCCUGCCCCGCCCCGCUUCGCCGUGCGCCGCGCGCCGCCCGUCCCCGCCGCCGCCACCUCCUGCUCGGCCCCGCCCCGCGACCCCUGCGGCCGCCACUUCCCGCCCCGCCCUGCCGCGUGCGGCCCCUCUUCUCCAUCUCUCCAUCGCCAUCUCCCUCCUCCCUCCCUGUUCCACCCCCACCUCUACUCCCAGCAGGCUCAACCAUGGUAGUCAACACGGGGACGUGAGCGUGCACGGGUGGCGUCGGUGGACGAGAUCAAAAUUGGUUGAUGAUGGAGUGCAAGUAGCACAAGUUAAUCAUGUGCACUUCCCAUUAUUGAAUAUCAGAUAUGCCAAACUAAAGGAGGCGGCUAGAGGAAGCAUUGGAGGCCAAGUUCAGCAGCAACGGUCAGCUGUCGUCGGUGGCCGGCCGGCGACAUUUGCGAAGGAAUGAGGGAGGGCGGAGACCGACAACAGGGGGCUGUCGAACUAGCCAAGCUACCAUCACUCCAUCAUCCCCGGAGAUCGUUCGGUGAUGUCCAAUGCAUCAUGUCAUGGACUGGAGCGCGGACUGCCCUGCGCAAGUAGGUUAUGUGCUUGAGACGAUUGAAUGUCCGGACAUCGGUAGGAAUUCCUGAUGACUGAGGAAAUUUUGGCAGACAUUCUUGAUGGUAUAUUAAAUCUUGGUUUGAUGGGUACUUUUCUGAAGAAACUAUUGAGUCCCAGGCGGAUCAACUUAUUUUCACGUCAGGUUUUAGGUGUUUCCCAGCUAGGCAGCAAUUUCUUCAGAAGACCACACCGCGGGCAUUAUCUUAAGUGGACCAUUGACCUGCAAUUUUUGCCUUUCGCAUGUACAGGCUUAUUAUGUGUGGAUUUUGAAAGCUAUUUCUACAUAUUCUAUCUCCUUUGAGACUAAACUGUGUAGUUGCUCUGCAUCAGUUCACCUGCUCAAUAAUUGUGCUAGAGGAGUUAGUCAUAGUAUGUCUAGAAAUCCCUUGGAGCACUACUCUAGGUAACAUUGUUAUGUUGUCUUUGCUAGAAAACUGUAUAUGUAGUCUAGAAUUGGGUGUACAUGUUGGUUCAGCCCAUGGACGUUUUCUUUGAGAUUCACUUAUGGACCUUGCAGUAAUGUACUCCCUCGGUAAACAAAUAUAAGACAUUUUAGGUCACUAAAGUAGUUACCUGAAAUAUCUUAUAUUAGUUUAUAGAGGGAGUAUUAAUUUUUGUCUUGAUGCAUUUUAAAUUAAACUAAAAAGUGUCUAUCUGAAUUUUGAGCUGAAUCUGAACCAUGGUUUGCAUUCAGCUAUAUUUCUAAAACAUUGCACAAAGUCCUAUAUUUAGGAUGCCAAGUUUCUUCUCUCCUGUAGGAAAUUUUGGCCCUAUAUAUUCUAAAUUUUUGUCAUAUUCAGUUUUAAUGGUCGGAAAGAAACAAUGUUAUUUUUUAUUAUCAAAUGGAGUCAAGUUGCUAAUCUGUAAUUUACAAAGACGUAAGGAAGUGUUAUUUUUGUGUGUCGUUGCUUAUGCCUUUUAUAUUUAGAGGAUAUUAUGGGCUUAUGUCCAGUAAUGGUAAUAGAGUUGUUCCCACUAUAGAUUUCCAUUGUGUAUUAGAAAAGGUAUGCACCUGGAAUUAUAGGCCUUGCCCAGUUGUAAGAUUUUUAUAUGUAGUUUAUUUUUUUCACUAGAGAUAUUUAGUUUGUUUAUGACAACUAGAGAAGGAUGAUGAGGCAGACGAACAACUGAAAUAUUGAUUAAUUGUAAUGAUGAAUGCAUUUACAUUUAUGAGUUUUUCCACCACUUUUCGACUAUCUCUAAUAAUGAUGGUUAGUCUAUUUUCACUUCUUGAUUUUACCGACUAAAUUGAUUUUUGGUCUAAAAUUUUGUACAUAUAGCUUUCCCCAAUACCAAAAGUCAACAGUCAUACUUAAAUAACCAUUCACAACCCUUUCUUUAAUCCUUAUGCUUUUUUGUUUCUAUUCUACUUGGAACAGAGGAAAAUGCCCUUAUGGAGCUUUUGAGCUUUUUGUACAGUGGAAAGUUAACAAACAACCGAGCCUGCUAUUCUGGUUGACAUCUUAAUGGAUGCCAAUAAAUUUGAGGUUCUCUCUUGCAUGAGGCAUUGUAGCCAGUUGCUCUCAAGCUUUCAUAUGACCACAGAAUCUGCAUUGAUCUACCUAGACUAUCCAUGAUUCACUUUGAUGGCAGUUGAAGUUCACCAUUUGAUAGUUGCAGCUAAGGAUUUCCUUGCCAACAAAUACAGUGAUAUGCAUAAGUUCCGAAAUGAAGUGAUGAACAUGCCACUUGCUGGGAUUGAAGCCAUAUUUUCAAGCACUGACCUACAUGUGAAAAAAUGAAGAUGUCUUGUACCGUCUGUUGCUCAACUGGGCCCGUGUGCAAUACCAGAAUUAGAAGAAAGACGUAAGAUCUUGAGUUCUCAUUUGGUUCCGCUGGUGCGCUUUAGUCAUAUGACUUGUGAGGCACUUCAGGAGAUUUUCACAUGCACUGACGCUGACAUAGACCAUGAGCAAAGCUUAUCACUAGGGUACUUAUGUGCAAAGCUUAUCCAGCACACUAACCAGGCCAGGUGCUCUUGCAGCAUGUGCAACCUCUUGUUUGUUAUAUGCAGAGCUAGCUUACAAGUACAGGCAUCUGAAAGUGGUUCUGUUUGAGACCGCAACGAGAUGGAGGCGGUGGUCUUGACACCCAUGCUGGAGACCAUCUGGUGGUACGAUUGCUAUCAAAUGCAGCUUGGUUUGUGUGUGCAUCUCCUAGCUUUUGUAUCCGCGUGUAGUGUUAUUGGUUAAUUAUGUUGUGUCCUUACUGAUCUCAAGUCUCAAUAGUAUGUGAAUGGGUGUAAUCAGAACAAACAUGUUUAUCUUAUUUGUGGUAGGAAAUGGUGUAUAUUUCUUUCGUCU